rnacentral:sRNA from 1 species
UUCAAACCAAUAUUCUUCUAGACUACGUU